GCUAAAAACAUUCAAAACUGCAUAUCAGCAUGAGUAAAUUAAAAUGAGUUUGAAUGUUGACUUCAGUUUAGGAAAAUAACCCGAAUGAUACUCCAUAUCCUAAGAUACAUUUCUUUUGUAAUGUCACAAACAUACAGAAGAAAAAAUGGCAUCACUUACUACCAGCCUACCAUGCACCACCAGUAAACUAAAAAUAAAUAUAACUCAUAUAUUGCAUGUUGAUUCAAUCCUAUGUACGUGUAACUUAAAACUCACGUAUACGAGAAACAUCUACUUUCUAGUCAGGAAUAUAUAUACCUGUUGCAAGCAUGGGAUCCACAACUAUCAAAGUAAAAACCUUAAGACAAAGUAUUAUUUCCAAGAUUUUAUACCUAAGAACAACAGAAUCAUACAAAAGGUUGGAAAAAGAAUGAGCAUGGAAGAUGAACAGUAAUCAAGUUAUACUUAUUUCUCAUGUAAGAUGAAUUGGUGAAACUAGUAAUCAAGUUAUACUUAUUUCUCAUGUAAGAUGAACAGUAAUCAAGUUAUACUUAUUUCUCAUGUAAGAUGAACAGUAAUCAAGUUAUACUUAUUUCUCUAGACUUAAGUGACAAUAAUCAAGUUAUACUUAUUUCUCAUGUAAGAUGAAUUGGUGAAACUAGUGACAGUUAUCCAACAAAGUAGAAUUACUGAUAUAUGCCAAAACUACAAUGUUAAUGCCUAUAAUUGAGGACAGUUGCCAAGUAGGAAAGGGUUGAUGAACAGUUAUAAGAGAUGCAUUACCUGAAACAAAAUCAAAAUAAAAUCUGAAACAAUUAACAUUCCUGCUAACUGACUGCUACUCUCAUCCCAUAGAGGCACAACUCUCAGCCCCUAACAAAUUAUACCAAACUUAGAGUAAAUAUCAUAAGAAACUCAACACCUAACAGAAAAUAAACCAUAUAAAUGCUCUAGUUGAACAACUAAAUAAAUAGCAUUCAUAAAAGAGAUUUGGAGCAAGUACAAGGAGAUUUAGCAAAAGCAAUUAAAUCUUGUGGAAGCACUCGUUCAAAUCCCACAACUAAAACAUAGAUCUCACCAUGGAUCAUAAGCAGCAAUCUCUUUGAACUUCACACAAACAAGCUCACUGCCAACAAAGCAGAAAAUUGCAUUAGGCACAAGACCAAGAAGCAAAGCAAUUGAUUCAGUAUACAAAGUCGAUCAAAACUAGGAACACCCCUUCAACAUAGAAAAGCAAAUACUUACCGGGGGUUCGAGUCACCAAGGGGGGAAAUGGGAAACCAUUAUUGAUCCUUUUUUAAGAAAAAAAAUUAAAAAAGACUCUAGACAAUGAUUGAGCUAUCGCAAUCUGGAGACAAGCUCCACAUAUAUUCAACCAAUAUAGAACAUAAGGAUUUAUAAAUGUCAUAUCCAUGCUAGUCAAAGCAUAAGAAACUAUAUGAAUCUAGAAACGGAAGUCUAAAUCUUAAUAAUUCCAGCAUAAGUACUACAACUUGUCAAAUAUCAUGUUAUAAGAAGCAAUAGAAUUUGGAGUUAAAAUUAGACGCACAAGAUCUAAUCACUGAACAAACUAAAUAACAUAAACCCAUCAACAUAAUUCUUUGAAAUAUAAACAACUGUAUCAUCAAAUGUUUCUAAAUGCAGACUAGUGAGAGUGCGGGACCUAGCAAAGCCACUUAACUACAAUUUUCAAUCCCUUCAAACAGGGAGUAGAAAAUGAAUUUGGAGUUAAAAUCAGGAGAGUGCAACCCCUUCUCUUGAAUAUUACAUGCUAAAUAAAGAAUAUACACCAUAUUUCUUCAUAUACUAAAUAGUAGGGUGAGUUAUACAUCGUCAAUCAGUCAUUAUACAUCGAAAUACUAGUUCUAAGAUCGUCAAUCAGUCAUUAUACAUCGUCAAUCAGUCAUUAUACAUGGAAAAUUCAAGUAUCAAUAAGAUAAAAACUCAUUCUUGACAUCAUCAAAACGCAUGUAGCAUAAUGAUGCCAGCAACUUCAUUCAAACUGCCAAAUUCUGUUUCAAGUUACAAGAAUUGACCUACCCCUACAAGGAAUAGAAACAGCAUAUACAAUCUUCAAGACUAUAAGACCAUAAGGUCCAUAACUAAACUAGAAGGAUAGACUACAAACUACAAAGACAUAGCAAGUUAGCAACUCAUCAAGAUCAUACAUUAUCUCUAAAAGAACUACUAAUACUUACAUCACGGUAAACCUUAACCUGAGUGUCCAGCUUCAUUCUCUAGUUUUGGAGGUCCUAAUUUUUGCAAGAAAAAGAAAUAAGUUAAGAAAUUACUGAACCCAAAAUCAAGAAACAGAACACAACUCGAUCACAUGUUAAUACAAAUACCAUAUCAAACAAUUCGUAUUAAUUCAGUGAACCAGUCCCAAGUACUUCAUUUACUCAAAGUAGGCUUGUUAAUUUCUUCACUAUGAUCCCCAAAACUAAACGAAUAAUUAAAUUAAACUUGAAAGCUAAAAAAUGCAUCAACGAGCAAAAAAUGGCGUGUAUAAAAGCUUAGCUCUCGGUAGAAAAGCUCCGGAAACUCCUGUCGGAUAGUCUAAAUCGUGUAACCCAUAUUCACAUAAUAAUCCUGCUUCACAAAAAUUAAAGAGAGUAUCGGCGGUGACGCUUAGCCGCCGUCUGACUCGGGAUCGAGGAAGUCCAGGCACGGCGGCGAGGAGCUGCUAUUGAUGCCGGAGGUCGGAGAGGGUGGAGUCUAGAUCUGGGGCCCUAGGGUUUCAGACAGAGGAAUUAGGGAUCUAGGGUUUGGAGGAGAGAGUGGCGCCGCCGCUUGAGAUACAGGCGGUGGUGGCGGCUGGAACCUUUUCAAAUUGAGGCGGUGGUUAGGUGAGAUUUUGAGGGAGAGUGGCGGCGGCUUCUCACUGCAGUUCGCCGGAGAUUGAGAAGUCGGGCGGUGGUGUGAGUUUGUGAAUGCCCGAAUUGAGUCAAAAGAAAGAGAGAUAAGGCGGACGAGGCCGGCUCUCCUCGCCGGAACUUCGGCGGCGGCGGCGGCGGAGCCCUAGCUGGCCGCUCAGCUUGAAAGAGAAGGGGGAGAGAAUUUUCUUUGUGUAAAUUUUUAGGAGAGCUC
rnacentral:lncRNA from 1 species